ACACAACGGUGGUAGCCUCGUGGUGCAUUCAUUAGUUAUUGUAAAAUACCCUUUUCCCAUCUUGUGGUUGUUUCUGUCGUUCACAAUUUACCAGUGAAAUAAGUUAUUGUUAUAAGGUGUAGUUAUUACAUUAUUAUUAAAUCUUUAAUUUUUACCAUAUGGCCUUAGCUUAGUUGAUAAUCUUUAAUGUUGCCGACUGUUGUUUAGUACCCUUCUUUUUUAGCUUUAUUAAAUUAUCGGUUCAGGCACCGUUUAGGCACCAGCACAAUUUUAAAAAUAUUGCUUUAGCCCCGGUAUCUGAAAAAUCCAAACGAUACCCAGCGCUAAGCGCGAAUCAGCCGGCUACGUUGUCAUGAGUGAAUCUGUAGCAGACGAGCGAGUGAAGUCUCUCCUCGAGUCAGGGUAAAGAAAAUCCACAAG